rnacentral:rRNA from 1 species
UCCUUUAAAGAAAGCGUAAUAGCUCACUGGUCGAGUCGGCCUGCGCGGAAGAUGUAACGGGGCUCAAACUGGUCACCGAAGCUGCGGCUGCAUACAUUGUAUGCGGGGUAGGGGAGCGUUCUGUAAGCCUGCGAAGGUGUGUUGAGAAGCAUGCUGGAGGUAUCAGAAGUGCGAAUGCUGACGUGAGUAACGAUAAUGCGGGUGAAAAACCCGCACGCCG